AGUUUAAAAGACAGAAAAGAGGAAAUAAAAAUAUAUAUUUCGAAAGGAAAGAGGCGUUGGUUCCGGAUCGGACGGAAAAAGCAGAAAAAUAACAUUAAAAACAGAAUAAUCCAUGUGGUUUUGGAAGAUUGGAUUGGCCGCCCUCUUUCCAGUUCUUCCAUUGGAAGCGUUGCGACGGCCCUUCGAGGCGGGACAAAACGAGACGGAAGAAAAAAUGGGACUCUCCAUUGCCACGACCCCCUUUCAAGGCAUCAAAGAGGAGCCAGGCUCCGCCCCUUCUGCCGCCGUUUACGCUAAGUACCUCGUCCCGCUUUUUGUCGCUCUGCUGCUAUUGGUCGGACUCUUCAUUAUGUACCGACGAAAGAGAGGCAU